UUCAUCAAUGGUUUUAUAGUGUGUAGCAAUAUUUGCACUAUGUUUUGUCCUCUAUUGUAGGUACAUCAGCAGAAUCCCAAAUAUCCUAUCAAUAACAUUGUUCUGCUAUAAGGUUAUCAGCUGGGAAAUAACCUUGGGAAGCUGUGUACUUUUCAGUUAAGUUGUUGUGUUUCAUCACUUCUUUCACGGGUGUCCGUGUUUUUUGUUUGUUUGUGUCAGUCACAACCAGGGGAAGUGUGACUAGG